rnacentral:rRNA from 1 species
AUUGAACGCUAGCGGGAUGCUUUACACAUGCAAGUCGAACGAGUGGCGGACGGGUGAGUAAUAUAUAGGACGUGCCCAGUAGCGUGGGAUAACUACUGGAAACGGUAGCUAAUACCGCAUACUAUCGGAUAACCCAUAUGGGAUUAGCUAGUAGGUGAGGUAAUGGCGCACCUAGGCGACGAUCCCUAGCUGGUCUGAGAGGAUGAUCAGCCACACUGGGACUGAGACACGGCCCAGACUCCUAAGGAGGAAGCAGUGGGGAAUAUUGCACAAUGGGCGCAAGCCUGAUUCAGCCAUGCCGCGUGUAUGAAGAAGGCCCUAGGGUUGUAAAGUACUUUCAGUCGGGAGGCGUUACCGACAGAAGAAGCACCGGCUAACUCCGUGCCAGCAGCCGCGGUAAUUC